AUGACGCAUGGUGGUGGGCGGCGGUCUAGCUGGUCGGCUCCGGUCCGUUGGGCGGCGGGGAUUGGAGUACGGGAGAAAUCCCUAGCGGUCUUCGGCCCCGAUGCGGUGACACCUGCGGGUGCCACCAUUCCUUCCUGGAGGGUGUCGGUGAUAUCCAUCCCCCACCUCCCUCCGCGUGCCGGGGAAACCCUAGGACAUGUCCGGGCAGCAGUGUCGUCGGCGUCGCUUUCCUUCUUGGAGGUGCUGUUUUGUACGCGGUGGUCCGGAGCCUCGGGUUGUAGUGGUUUGUCUUUGGUGUGCGUAGCGGUGGCGGGUCAUCCGUGCUCUGUCGAGCUGCCAUUGUUGGCAUUUGCUUCCUUUUCUUUUUCUUUUGGGCUUGUUGUGCUGUUCGCCCCAGCGAUCAUGUAUCGGUGUUGGUUGCUUUGGAAUACAAAGCGGGGGGAAACCCUUUUUCGGCAUGUUCCUGUACGUGAGCGGGAUUCGUGUUCAUGUUGGUGCGGAUGUCAUAGGUGUACUGGUAGAUGA
rnacentral:rRNA from 1 species